UGUCAUGGCGGCUGUGCGUGGGGCACCUCCGGGUGCGCCGGGGUUCUCACAGCUCGGUCUGCUAACCCACGUACAGUCGCCACCCUU
rnacentral:antisense_RNA from 1 species